GCUUCACCGUUGCAGGCCGGGCAGUUGCCGGCUCACCCACGCCCCGAGGCCUGGGCCAAUCGGAGGCGAGACACGCACGGGGCCCUGCGUGCAACCCGGCGCCUAAGGAGGCCUGCCAGGUGCAGGCGCUUCUGCUCCCGCCGGCGCCCCUCCCUCUAGAAACGCCGAGAAAACGGGAGUUACUAGCGCCCCCACCCAACGCCGCCUCGGGGACUCGGGCUCCUUCACUCUCAACCUCGCACAAUACAAAGUGUGUUAGAAGAAGACAAGAUGGCGCCCAGCAGGAGGAGCGGAGAAAGGCAGGGGUGUAAAUCUGGCUUCCAAACUGGAAGCGACAACAAAGACGUGGGAGGUUUCACUGCGCAGGCGUGCAGCUCCGGCAAGCUUUAGAAUUCCACCGGGGGGCGCGUCCAAAACGUGGUCCCCGACUGAGACUUAUUUUACGCCACUAGAGCAGUGAUGGGUAGCGUCAGAAAAAGCAGGGAGCUGCGGGCGGGCCAGCUUCGCCGCGGGAAAAGAGCGAGGCGGAGUGUCCGCGGCGCGCAGGCGCAACGAAAGUCAAUGGCGGUCUGGAAAGACUGGCGGAAGCCAGCUUUGCAAUAUGGCGGCUGAGGCAGACGGAGCGCUUAAACGGCUGCUCGUGCCGAUUCUUUUACCUGAGAAAUGCUACGACCAACUUUUCGUUCAGUGGGACUUGCUUCACGUUCCCUGCCUCAAGAUUCUCCUCAGCAAAGGCCUGGGGCUGGGCAUUGUGGCUGGGUCACUUCUAGUAAAGCUGCCGCAGGUGUUUAAAAUCCUGGGAGCCAAGAGUGCUGAAGGUUUGAGCCUGCAGUCUGUAAUGCUUGAGCUAGUGGCAUUGACUGGGACCAUGGUUUACAGCAUCACUAACAACUUCCCAUUCAGCUCUUGGGGUGAAGCCUUAUUCCUGAUGCUCCAGACGAUCACCAUCUGCUUCCUGGUCAUGCACUACAGAGGACAGACUGUGAAAGGUGCUGGGGACUUACCAAGAGCAGGCUGCAUGGUUCCUGGGCACUCUCGGACCUGGGAAAGCCCGAUGAUGUUGAGAUUGACAAGGACUCCUGUCUCCCCACUCCUAGGUGUCGCUUUCCUGGCUUGCUACGGCCUGGUCUUGCUGGUGCUUCUCUCACCUCUGACGCCCUUGACUGUAGUCACCCUGCUCCAGGCCUCCAAUGUGCCUGCUGUGGUGGUGGGAAGGGUGGGUAUGAGGAGCAAGGGACAAGAUGUGGGGUGGGUGGAGGGGGAGGGUCAAGGGGCGGACUGGAAGGUCAAAGUGUGGGGUGUUGGACUUGGAGCGGGGAAAUUAGCGAUGGCAGUGUGGGAAGGGCUCAGAUGACAGAGCCAAAGGUCUCAACUCCUCCCCUAGCUUCUCCAGGCAGCCACCAACUACCACAAUGGGCACACAGGCCAGCUCUCAGCCAUCACAGUCUUCCUAUUGUUUGGGGGCUCCCUGGCCCGAAUCUUCACUUCCAUUCAGGAAACUGGAGACCCCCUGAUGGCUGGAACCUUUGUGGUCUCCUCCCUCUGCAAUGGCCUCAUCGCUGCGCAGCUUCUCUUCUACUGGAAUGCAAAGCCUCCCCACAAGCAGAAAAAGGCGCAGUAGAGCCAGCU